AUGGGUCAAUCAAAUAUUUUUCUACUGAUUCGUGUUGCAUCAAUGCUUGUACUUUUUCUCAGGCUGCAUUCGUGCCUGCAUCAGAAGGUGCAACGGAUACUAGUUACUUCACAAGUCGUUUCUCUUGGAAUCCUUCAGAUGAACAAGUAUAUGCAGCCAGUGAAUAUGAGGAUUCUAGUGAUGAUGGCAGUGUUAGUGGUAGUAGUAGCUGUCUAGAUAAUCGCCAAGAUGAACAGGGUGAUCAAUAUGCUGGUAUUGUAGAAUUUGAGUCAGGCUCUUCUGUCAACUAUCCUUUCAAUAACUUCUCAUUUAAGAAUCUGUCUCAGCUUGCAUCAAUCAACUAUGAUUUGCUUACGAAAGGUUGGAAAGAUGAUCACUCGUCAAAUCCCAAUGUGUAGCUCCAGGAACCGUGCCUAUGAGAAUAUUCAAACUUUUGUUUCUUUGCUGGUAGAAUCAAACAGAACACCUGUCAAUCAUCUCCCUGUCUUUACACCUUGUAAAUAUAUAGAAGCAGCUUAAAGAUCAUGAUCGCGACUAGUGGGGAUGUGAUGUGUUUUCAUGAUACAGAGAAAUCUCAUGCUGUGAGGUUGUAUUGUAGCUUUCUCACUUAAAACUAAGUAUGGUCCACAUUUCGCUGUCAAUGUUCUGAAUAUAGUCAUUAUUUUGAAAUAGUUGUUCUUGAUAACAACUUUUGAGUCGAAGGUUGAUCGCAUUUAAGUUCUUUUAUAUCAAGUAUGGUUCCUCUGUUUGAUGCAAAAAGUGUUCAAAAAAUGCAAAGUCUCGCUGUUAAAAAUUCUUUAAGCUAAGUUGAAAAAUAAGUUAUUGAUAUGUAGUCGCUGGAGACUUAAUGCUGCUCAUACUGGAACAAGUAUUAAGUACUUCAAUGCUCAUUGUAUCUGCAUCUUUAAUUGGUUUCAAGUAGUGUUGCUACUGUUCUGUGCGUAGAAGAUAAAAUUGAAGGCCAGUUCAUGAUAGAGGAUUGGUUCCUUUCACUUUGUCAAGAUUUUUCAGUUUUUGGCAAUUAGGUAAUUCCAGGAUAUAGGAAUACUUAAUUUUAAGUGAGAAAGCUACAAUACAUCUUUUGUGCCAUGAAAUUUUUUAUUAAAUAGUUCAUCUUUACAAUACCUGGUUGCUUUUUUUUUUUUUUUUUGAAACUGAUAACUUCGAUACCUGCUUGCUUACUUUGCUGUUAUAACAUUUAAAGAAGAUAAGAAAUGGGUGGAAUUACUUCGAUUUAGUAAAUAUCUCAUGGAAAGGUGUGAGCUUUACUGUUUCCCGAAGUUAAUGUUAUGUUUAAUGUUGGAUUAUUCUGAUUUUCUUGUAUAAAAUGAGCUCUGGGUAACCAUUUGAGACUCGAUUUUUGCUGUCAAGAAUCUAUCAGAAAUCAGCUUUUCUUUGCUCUUAGAAUUUCUUUUUCUUUUGCUUCUCAUUUGUGUUCGUUUAUUCUUGUCAUAAACUCGUUAUCAACGGUGAAAGCUCGAAGCAUUCUCAACUCUCAAAUGCCUCAAUUCGUUGCUCGUCAAAAGGUGUCAAAAAUGAAGAAAGGGAAGGAGACAGUGAAGACGUUGAUCUUACUUGAGAAGAUCUUUUAUGAAGCUUUCUACAUGUUCUAAGAAUCUUUUUGCUAUCGAACAUUUUGAAACUUAUCCUAAAUCUUGAAAUGUAAAACUUAAUUAUGCA